GAUUUCUGGCUUGAAACUUGAUGCCGGCCACAGUUUUGUGUGUUAGUGCAUCAUGUUCGCGCCAUCCUUCCAAUCGCUAUUCACCUUUCUUCAUUGAUUGGUGAGUGGUAUUGGAUCUUUUACUUUGAAAAAAUUAGAGUGUUUCAAGCAGGCUUUAUGCUAUGAAUACAUUAGCAUGGAAUAAUAAUUUAGGACUUCGGUUCUAUUUUGUUGGUUUCUAGGACUGAAGUAAUGAUUGAUAGGGAUAGUUGGGGGUGCUAGUAUUCAGCGGCCAGAGGUGAAAUUCUCGGAUUCGCUGAAGACUAACUUAUGCGAAAGCAUU
rnacentral:rRNA from 1 species